UGCAAGUCGUGCGAGAAAGUACCCUUCGGGGUGCGAGUAGAGCGGCAAGCGGGUGAGUAACACGUAAGUAACCUACCUCUAAAUCUGGAAUAACUCUGCCAACGCGGAGCUAAUACCGGAUGUGGUCACGAUGCUGCAUGGUAUUGCGACUAAAGGUGACCUCUCCUUGGAAGUUACCGUUUAGAGAUGGGCUUGCGGACCAUUAGCUAGUUGGUGAGGUAACGGCUCACCAAGGCUACGAUGGAUAGCCGGCCUAAGAGGGUGAUCGGCCACAUUGGGACUGAGAUACGGCCCAGACUCCUACGGGAGGCAGCAGUAGGGAAUUUUGCGCAAUGGACGAAAGUCUGACGCAGCAACGUCGCGUGAGGGAUGACGGCCUUCGGGUUGUAAACCUCUGUUGAGUGGGAAGAAAAGCUUUGUGGUUAAUAUCCACAGAGUCUGACGGUACCACUCGAGGAAGCUCCGGCUAACUACGUGCCAGCAGCCGCGGUAAUACGUAGGGGGCUAGCGUUGUCCGGAAUCACUGGGCGUAAAGGG
rnacentral:rRNA from 1 species